UACAGAGGGUGCAAGCGUUAAUCGGAAUUACUGGGCGUAAAGCGUGCGUAGACGGUUAUGUAAGUUAGGUGUGAAAGCCCCGGGCUCAACCUGGGAAUUGCAUUUAAGACUGCAUAGCUAGGGUGCGGAAGAGGGAAGCGGAAUUUCCGGUGUAGCGGUGAAAUGCGUAGAUAUCGGAAGGAACAUCAGUGGCGAAGGCGGCGCUCUGGGCUGGAACUGACGCUGAGGAGCGAAAGCGUGGGGAGCGAACAGG
rnacentral:rRNA from 1 species